rnacentral:rRNA from 1 species
GCUAAUAACCUAGCCCUCCAAUAUUUAAUGAACCUAAACACCUCAUCACAAGAACUAAAACAUUUUGUUAAUUUAGUAAAGGCGAUUAAAAAAUUAAUAGGAGCAAUAUAAAUAGUACCGCAAGGGAAAGAUGAAAUAAAAAUGAAAUAAACAUUAAGCACAAAAUAGUAAAGAUUAAUUCUUGUACCUUUUGCAUCAUGGUUUAACAAGUCUAAUCAAGCAUAACGACUUACAGUUUGACCUCCCGAAACUAAGUGAGCUACUUCAGGGCAGCUUAUUGAGCAAACCCGUCUCUGUUGCAAAAGAGUGGGAAGACCCUCAAGUAGAGGUGAUAGACCUAACGAACUUAGUGAUAGCUGGUUACUCAAGAAAAGGAUUUAAGUCCAGCCUAAAGUCUUCUCAGUUUUUCAAAAACACAUCUCGGACUCUAGAGUAAUUCAAAUAAGGUACAGCCUAUUUGAAAAAGGAUACAACCUAAACUAACGGGUAAUAAUUUAACUAUUUAACCAAGUGGGCCUAAGAGCAGCCACCUUUAAAACAGCGUCAAAGCUUUAUUAUCAUAUAUUCCUAAUACUUUAAAAAUUUCAUAACCCUUUAAUUCUAUUGAGUAAUUCUAUAACAUUAUAGAAAGUAUGAUGUUAAAACUAGUAACAAGAAGAAGACCUUCUCUUUAAUGCAAGUGUAAAUCAGAAAGGACCCCCCACUGAUAGUUAACCCCCAUGAAACCACAUUAACAACCUCGCAAGAAAAACCUAAUGAACUCUGAGUUAAUCUAACACAAGAGCAUUUCAAGAAAGAUUAAAAGAAAAAGAAGGAACUCGGCAAACAUUAACCUCGCCUGUUUACCAAAAACAUCGCCUCUUGAAUCCUUAUAAGAGGUCCAGCCUGCCCAGUGACUCUGUUCAACGGCCGCGGUAUCCUAACCGUGCGAAGGUAGCGUAAUCACUUGUCUUUUAAAUGAGGACUUGUAUGAAUGGCAUCACGAGGGUUAUACUGUCUCCUUUCUCUAAUCAGUGAAACUAAUCUUCCCGUGAAGAAGCGGGAAUAAAUAUAUAAGACGAGAAGACCCUAUGGAGCUUUAAACUCAAUAACAAAUACUAAUCUUAAUUUAACUUCCAGAACAUUAACACUGAUCUUAGUAUUAUGAUUAUUAGUUUUAGGUUGGGGUGACCGCGGAGUAAAAAUUAACCUCCACAUUGAAAAGGACCUUUCCUUGAGCUAAGAGCUACAACUCUAAACACCAACAAAUUGACAUUAAUUGACCCAAUAUUUUGAUCAACGAACCAAGUUACCCUAGGGAUAACAGCGCAAUCCACUUCAAGAGCUCCUAUCGACAAGUGGGUUUACGACCUCGAUGUUGGAUCAGGGUAUCCCAGUGGUGCAGCCGCUACUAAAGGUUCGUUUGUUCAACGAUUAAAACCCUACGUGAUCUGAGUUCAGACCGGAGUAAUCCAGGUCAGUUUCUAUCUAUAAAAGAGUUUUUUCUAGUACGAAAGGACCGAAAAAACAUGGCCUAUACUUAAUGCAAGCCAUAAUUAUUAACUUAUGACCAAAUCUUAAUAAGUAUCUAAUCCAUCACCAAACUCAAAAAAAGAGCA